rnacentral:rRNA from 1 species
CCUACGGGUGGCAGCAGGGGGGAAUAUUGGGCAAUGGGCGCAAGCCUGACCCAGCAACGCCGCGUGAAGGAUGAAGGUUUUCGGAUUGUAAACUUCUGUCGCGAGGGACGAAGAAUGACGGUACCUCGUAAGAAAGCCCCGGCUAACUACGUGCCAGCAGCCGCGGUAAUACGUAGGGGGCAAGCGUUGUCCGGAAUGACUGGGCGUAAAGGGAGUGUAGGCGGCCUUGUAAGUUAGAUGUGAAAUCCCGAGGCUCAACUUCGGAAUUGCCUCUGAUACUGUUCGGCUAGAGAGUAGUUGCGGUAGGCGGAAUGUAUGGUGUAGCGGUGAAAUGCUUAGAGAUCAUACAGAACACCGAUUGCGAAGGCAGCUUACCAAGCUACUUCUGACGUUGAGGCACGAAAGCGUGGGGAGCAAACAGGAUUAGAUACCCCAGUAGUC